GACGAACGCUGGCGGCGUGCUUAACACAUGCAAGUCGAACGGAAAGGCCUGCUUUCCCUUGUGGAUUGCGGGUACUCGAGUGGCGAACGGGUGAGUAACACGUGAGUGAUCUGCCCCCAACUUGGGUAUAAGCCUGGGAAACUGGGUCUAAUUCCCGAUAGGACUGCAGGGUGGUGCCUGUGGUGGAAAACGAUUUUCUAGUGGUUGGGGAUGAGCUCGCGGCCUAUCAGCUUGUUGGUGGGGUAAUGGCCUACCAAGGCGGCGACGGGUAGCCGGCCUGAGAGGGUGGACGGCCACAUUGGGACUGAGAUACGGCCCAGACUCCUACGGGAGGCAGCAGUGGGGAAUAUUGCACAAUGGGCGGAAGCCUGAUGCAGCGACGCCGCGUGGGGGAUGACGGCCUUCGGGUUGUAAACUCCUUUCGACCGCGAGGAAGCCACCUGGUUGGAAGGGUGGUGACGGUAGUUGUAGAAGAAGCACCGGCUAACUACGUG
rnacentral:rRNA from 1 species